UUUACACACUUUUCUGAGAAGGAGCAUUUAUAAUAGAAAAUCUCACUGAUUUCUAAUUUAUUCUUCAAUGUGUGGAUUCAUUUUUUUUUCUUCAGGAAUGCAUCGAGGAUUGCAAAUUGCAGACUCUCCGAUUCAGGGAGGAGUGCAUUGAUGAAUCCAUUGUUUACACCAACGCCAGGGAAGAGGAUAGGUUUUGCAAAGAUGAGAGGUCACUAACGGCUGAAAUAAUUAAAUCCUGUACCGAGAAAUGUAAACCAGCUUGUAAAGAACAGAAAUAUGAGGUAGAGUACCAAGAAGUGUUUGCAGCUCAUGAGUGUCAAGAAAAGGUACUAAUAAAUAAAACAAAAGGUUACAAUUUUCCUGAUGGUACUGCUGAGUAUUGCAAGUAAGUAUUUUUUAAUUAACAAUCACAUUACACAACAAAACUGAAAUUUAUAUCGAAUAUCCGAUCGAAGUGAAAAUCGAUCGAUCAACGAUGUCUAAUUUUGAUGGACAAUGUUUAAUGCAACAGUCACUCGCUACCUGAUUUACUUCAAUUGUGUUAAAAGUCAUUCAAUUUUAAAAAUGCUUUCUCUGUAACAUCACAAAAAUGCGGUAAAGUAAAUAUAAAGCGCAAU